GUUUAUCCUCAGCUCCCAGUGAUUAGACAGAAGGGCAACUAUCAUAUCACAGAUGAGGAUGAGCAAAUAAUAGAGAAGGGAAAGGCUACAACGACCAUAAAAAUGUACCCAAGCUCUGACAGUAAACACAAAAAGACUUGUUUGAGAAAUUGGAGCGGACAGCAGUUUAGAAGACUGGACAUAGAGGAUGACAGUGAGAGUGAUUCGGACGAAGCUGUUGGUGGCUAUGACCCGGCAGUUAGACGGAUGUUGGCUAAAGCAGAGAAAAAAGGAGACAAGCCAGUAAAAAGAAGGGAUCUAGGAAAGGACGACACAGAUGUGAGUGAGGGAGAUGAAGACUCAGAGAGAGAGGGUCCUUCAUAUCUUUACCCGCAAGCAGCCGGUUCAGGAAGUAGAGAGAUAAGUGAAUGCUCAGAUAAUUUAAUUGUUAGACCUGUUAGGUCUGAUGAUUCAGGAAGCACAUGGUUUAGCCCAUGUGCAAGGGGGGAGUUAGGAGAAAGAUUAUGAAAGAGUAUGGUUUUUGGGUACUGUAUUUGCUUGAGCAGAUUGAUUGUGUCAUAGGCAGGUGUACUAUUUGUCUAAAAA